GUUUUGCAGCGGUUGUUGUUGAUGGUACCUCUCCUCGGUGUUGUUUGUGUUGCAAUUGUGGAUGGUACCCCUACUUGAUAUAUGGGUGACUUAAUAGCUGGUUUUCUUUGUUUUUACCCUUAGAUCCACUUUUUCAGGUGGUGUAGGAACCCUUAAAUCAAAAUACAUGGCGCGGUAUGUUGUCUGUUUUGCUUGCAGUUGUUGUUGUUGAUGGUGCCUCUCCUGGUGUUGUUUGUGUUGCAGUUGUUGAUGGUAACCUCCUUGAUAUAUGGUUGUUUUUAUUGAUGGUACCUCUCUUCGGUGUUGUUUGUGUUGCAGUCGUUGAUGGUACCUCUCCUUGAUAUAUGGGUUUCGUUUUUUGGAGUGUGACUUGCAUAGUUGGAAGCUAUAUGGACUUUUAUCAUAGCAUCACAUGGAAUUCUGAUAAAUACAUUCUGAAAAAUCUAGGGUGGUGUUAUCUCACUCAAGAGAUUACCUAGGGUAAAUUAUUGUCAUUGAUGGCGACGAUGGAGAUCACAAAUCCACCACCAGGAGAAGGAGGAGUAUCAGUUUCAGUAGAAAAAAUAAAUCCACGAAACAGAUUCGAAUUAAUAGAUCCGCAGAUUCAACAUGAAUUCAUCAAAAAUCUAAUGAAGAAAAAAAAUCAAAGCUCUUGUGGAGCCGCAGAGGAAUAGUCAAAUGAAAAUGAAUUGCAUAUAUCUGUCAGGGAUUUUUUUCCAGAUUCGUAAUAUGAUUUUAAUCUUUAUUUUUGAUUUCAGAUUUGUAAACAGCUUUGAUUAGAAACAUUUUUACUAUUUCAAAUGAUAUUAUUUGAUGAACUCGUAACCG